rnacentral:tRNA from 1 species
GGAGGGGUUCCCGAGCGGCCAGAGCGGCCAAAGGGAUCAGACUGUAAAUCUGACGGCUCAGCCUUCGCUGGUUCGAAUCCAGCUCCCUCCACCA